rnacentral:lncRNA from 1 species
UCAGACAUUCAAAUUCAUUGAAGUUUGAUCCAAAUAAUUACAAGUUGAAUAAAUAAUCUCAAAUUCAAUGACUCAAUUAAUUCAUUCAAAGUCUUCACUCUUUAAUUAACUUUUCACUACAAGAAAAACCUUUAUCUUUGACGAAAUUAUUCUCAACGAAUUUAAUUCUGUCGAAAUAAGCCUAUUUACGACGAAAAUUUGCGUAAGUUCCUCAAAAAUAAGCUUAACAGAAUUACGUUGAAAAUAGAAUACCCUCAUUGGCGCAAAUUAGCAUAUCCAUCACAAAAGAUACACAUAAUAUAAAAAAAUUAUAACCACUCUUGAAGAGAACAAAAAUGAAAUUAAGCACCAAUAAUAUAAAAAGAAAAACUCUUACAAAAUUCAAACCACCAGUAAUAAUAAUAAUAAUAAUAAUAAUAAAAUCCGAUAUAUAAUCCUUUCAAGACAUUGCCAAAGGUCUUUAGUUGCCCUAAUGGUAAUUAAAUUACCAUCAUGACUUUACAAUCAAUCUUCUUAAUUAUAUACGAUCAUCUUCAUCAUCCUCUUCGCCGCCAAUGCCGCCGUCGUCCGUUGCCGCCGCACCGGCCUCGGAACCACCCAUCUGAACUCCGGCAGCUGACACCAAGUGCUGAGAGGGAAACUCAAUUAAUAUAUAGAGUGGAGAAAGAAAGCUAGCUAGAGUUCUUGAAAUUUAGUGAGGAGAGGGUAUGGGUUUAGCAGUGGCUUUUUUGUAGGAAGGAUGGUGGGAAGAGUAUCUUCUUGGCAUAUACGUUGAAGCAUUACUUUUCCCAUUUACUUUUUAAUAAAUUUUUCAAUAUU